UACGUAGGGGGCUAGCGUUGUCCGGAAUCAUUGGGCGUAAAGAGCGUGUAGGCGGUUCGGUAAGUCCGCUGUGAAAGUCCAGGGCUCAACCCUGGAAUGCCAGUGGAAACUGCCGAGCUAGAGUCCGGGAAGAGGCGAGUGGAAUUCCUGGUGUAGCGGUGAAAUGCGCAGAUAUCAGGAGGAACACCAAUGGCGAAAGCAGCUCGCUGGGACGGUACUGACGCUGGAGACGCGAAAGCGUGGGGAGCAAACAGG
rnacentral:rRNA from 1 species